rnacentral:sRNA from 1 species
GAGACAAAACUCAAUUUUGUGAGACAAAAUUCAAUUUUGUCAAUUUUGUCUCACAAAAGUCAAUUUUGUCUCACAAAAGUCAAUUUUGUCUCACAAAAGUC